rnacentral:rRNA from 1 species
AGCGAACGCUAGCGGCGGGCCUAACACAUGCAAGUCGAGCGCAUACCUUCGGGUAUGAGCGGCGGACGGGUGAGUAACACGUAGGUAAUCUACCCUUUGGUGGGGAAUAACCCGGGGAAACUCGGGCUAAUGCCGCACGAGGUCUACGGAUCAAAGCCUUCGGGCGCCAGAGGAUGAGCCUGCGUUGCAUUACCUAGUUGGCGGGGUAACGGCCCACCAAGGGGACGAUGCAUAGCUGGUCUGAGAGGAUGAUCAGCCACACUGGGACUGAGACACGGCCCAGACUCCUACGGGAGGCAGCAGUGGGGAAUAAUUGCGCAAUGGGGGAAACCGUGACGCAGCUACGCCGCGUGGGUGGAUGAAGGCC